UACGGAGGGUGCAAGCGUUAUCCGGAUUCACUGGGUUUAAAGGGUGCGUAGGAGGGCAGGUAAGUCAGUGGUGAAAUCUCCGAGCUUAACUUGGAAACUGCCGUUGAUACUAUCUGUCUUGAAUAUUGUGGAGGUGAGCGGAAUAUGUCAUGUAGCGGUGAAAUGCUUAGAUAUGACAUAGAACACCAAUUGCGAAGGCAGCUGGCUAGACCUGGAUUGACGCUGAGGCACGAAAGCGUGGGGAGCGAACAGG
rnacentral:rRNA from 1 species